UGAACCUGCGGAAGGAUCAUUACCGAGUGUAGGGUUCCUAGCGAGCCCAACCUCCCACCCGUGUUUACUGUAACCUUAGUUGCUUCGGCGGGCCCGCCUUUAAGGCCGCCGGGGGGCAUCAGCCCCCGGGCCCGCGCCCGCCGGAGACACCACGAACUCUGUCUGAUCUAGUGAAGUCUGAGUUGAUUGUAUCGCAAUCAGUUAAAACUUUCAACAAUGGAUCUCUUGGUUCCGGCAUCGAUGAAGAACGCAGCGAAAUGCGAUAACUAGUGUGAAUUGCAGAAUUCCGUGAAUCAUCGAGUCUUUGAACGCACAUUGCGCCCCCUGGUAUUCCGGGGGGCAUGCCUGUCCGAGCGUCAUUGCUGCCCAUCAAGCACGGCUUGUGUGUUGGGUCGUCGUCCCCUCUUCGGGGGGGACGGGCCCCAAAGGCAGCGGCGGCACCGCGUCCGAUCCUCGAGCGUAUGGGGCUUUGUCACCCGCUCUGUAGGCCCGGCCGGCGCUUGCCGAACGCAAAACAACCAUUCUUUCCAGGUUGACCUCGGAUCA
rnacentral:rRNA from 1 species